GUUGAAUAAAAUAACAUGACAUGUAAUGGUGGUACAUCUUAUCUAUUUGAACAUAAUGAUAUAGGUGGUACAAUCUAAGGAUUUUAAUGAAAGACAAUUUAAUUUAAGCGGAAAAUAGUGAUCCUAUUAAAGACCGAACAUGGAGUAAAAUAAAGUGCAUUUUUUCUUAUUUGAAAAUUGAUGUUCCCACAUCAAAGGUUGUAAUGAAACACCACAAAAUUACCAAUAUAACUUUAUUGGCAGUUAAUUGUUGAUGGAUGGAAUUUGAGGUUAAACUUGUGAUUUUACGGUGUUUCUUAGCAUUGUGUGAAGUGGGAAAAACAAUUUUCUUCUUAUUCAUACUUCAUGAAAUAAAAUACACACAUUUGUUUGAUUUUCAUGGAUGCUUCAAGCACCCACCAUUUAUUUUGCUGCUUCUUUCUUCUCACCCCAAACCGGGUUCUUCAUUUUCUCCUCUUUCAAAAUUUUCUUCAUGUACUCCUGCUUCCCAACCUCCUUCUUCUCCUCCACGACCUUCAUAUCCUCCUCCAGGUCCUUCAUAUCCUCCUCUUACCGAACUAUAUUCGUUUCCUCCUCCCCAAUUGCCUCUAUUUCUCCCUCUUCUAGCUUCUCUACGUUUUCCUCCUCCCAACAAUUUAUCUACCAUCCGAUGUAUAAUAUUUUCAAAUAAUCCAUCAACAUUUCCUCCUUCAUGGUCUCCAUUGUGUCCAUCCUCAACUCUUUCUACCCCAAUUUUGUUUUUGGAGUUUUCAGUUUCACCAACUACAAAUCAAACAAACACAUUUAUUAAAUAUAAUAAAAGAGUAAAGCAAUUGCGGAAACAAAUAUAUAUUGAUACAAACACAUUCAUUCGCACCUUUCGAUGAAUCGAUUGCCAUAACAGAGAUGAUAAUUAGCGGGCAAAGAAAGAACACGAAGAUCAACGGUUUAGUUUUCAUGGUUGAUUU
rnacentral:lncRNA from 1 species